rnacentral:rRNA from 1 species
AUUGAACGCUGGCGGCAGGCCUAACACAUGCAAGUCGAACGAGUGGCGGACGGGUGAGUAAUGUCUGGGAAACUGCCUGAUGGAGGGGGAUAACUACUGGAAACGGUAGCUAAUACAGCAUACCAUCAGAUGUGCCUAUAUGGGAUUAGCUAGUUGGUGGGGUAACGGCUCACAAACGCGACGAUCCCUAGCUGGUCUGAGAGGAUGACCAGCAAAACUGGAGCGUAGCAACGGGCAGGAGUCCUACGGGAGGCAGAAGUGGGGAAUAUUGCACAAUGGGCGAAGGCCGGAUACAGCCAGGCCGCGUGUAUGAAAAAGGCCUUCGGGUUGUAAAGUACUUUCAGCGGGGCGGCGUUACCCGCAGAAGAAGCACCGGCUAACUCCGUGCCAGCAGCCGCGGUAAUAC